rfam:Streptomyces sp. CNQ-509, complete genome.
UUUCACCGAGCCGAGCCACAGCGGCUGUUCCGCGCUGUGCUCCCGGCCGUACGUCGCCAGCAGCGCCUGGGCCUC